UACGGGAUAAUAUAUUUGAGAGGCAUCUCUUGAAUAUCAAAGGUGAGCCAGUACAGGAUGGACCCGCGUCUGAUUAGCUAGUUGGUAAGGUAACGGCUUACCAAGGCGACGAUCAGUAGCCGACCUGAGAGGGUGAUCGGCCACAUUGGAACUGAGACACGGUCCAAACUCCUACGGGAGGCAGCAGUGGGGAAUAUUGCACAAUGGGCGAAAGCCUGAUGCAGCAACGCCGCGUGAGUGAUGAAGGCCUUCGGGUCGUAAAACUCUGUCCUCAAGGAAGAUAAUGACGGUACUUGAGGAGGAAGCCCCGGCUAACUACGUGCCAGCAGCCGCGGUAAUACGUAGGGGGCUAGCGUUAUCCGGAUUUACUGGGCGUAAAGGGUGCGUAGGCG
rnacentral:rRNA from 1 species